rfam:Rhabditophanes sp. KR3021 genome assembly, scaffold: RSKR_contig0000031
GCUGAGAUGUCCGAGUGGUUAAGGAGUCAGAUUCGAAAGUUUAUACACCCGAAUUAUCUGAUGGGCUAUGCCCGCGUAGGUUCAAACCCUGCUCUCAGCG